ensembl:snoRNA
UGGAAAAUGAUGACAGUAUAUCAUGAACCAAGGAUUGUGAUUAACCCAAUUUUGUGCAUCUGGGAUCCAAA